rnacentral:misc_RNA from 1 species
AAGACUAUAGACCUGCGGAGUACCUGCGGAAGGAUCAUUACCAAUUUUUAUAUGUUAGUUUGUGCUCCCGUCAAAAGGAGUUACAUUACUACUACUGUAAAUGUUGAACUGGAUCGAUUGGUGUGGAUUGCUUGGGAAAGGAAGAAGCGACAAGCCUCUUCCGGACAGGCAAACCCCACACUGAUAACCCUUUUUCAUAUAUACUACUAAUACAUACUACAAACAAACAACAAAAGCUAU